CCCUUAGAUGUUCUGGGCUGCACGCGUGCUACAAUGAAGCGUCCAACAAGAUGCGAAGCCGAAAGGCUCAGCGGAUCUUUGAAGUCGUUUCGUGACCGGGACAGUUGAUUGCAAUUAUUCGACUCGAACGAGGAAUUCCUUGUAAUCGCGAUUCAUCAUAUCGCGCUGAAUACGUCCCUGCCCUUUGUACACACCGCCCGUCGCUCCUACCGAUUGAGCGAUCCGGUGAACUAUUUGGAGUGUCCACGCAAGCCAAUCCGUUUACGUGGGUGCGAAAUUUUGUAAACCUUAUCGCUUAGAGGAAGGAAAAGUCGUAACA
rnacentral:rRNA from 1 species